rnacentral:rRNA from 1 species
AGUGAACGCUGGCGGUAGGCCUAACACAUGCAAGUCGAACGGCAGCACAGUAAGAGCUUGCUCUUACGGGUGGCGAGUGGCGGACGGGUGAGGAAUACAUCGGAAUCUACUUUUUCGUGGGGGAUAACGUAGGGAAACUUACGCUAAUACCGCAUACGACCUACGUGUGAAAGCAGGGGAUCUUCGGACCUUGCGCGAUUGAAUGAGCCGAUGUCGGAUUAGCUAGUUGGCGGGGUAAAGGCCCACCAAGGCGACGAUCCGUAGCUGGUCUGAGAGGAUGAUCAGCCACACUGGAACUGAGAAACGGUCCAGACUCCUACGGGAGGAAGCAGUGGGGAAUAUUGGACAAAGGGCGCAAGCCUGAUCCAGCCAUACCGCGUGGGUGAAGAAGGCCUUCGGGUUGUAAAGCCCUUUUGUUGGGAAAGAAAAGCAGCAGGUUAAUACCCCGCUGUUCUGACGGUACCCAAAGAAUAAGCACCGGCUAACUUCGUG